UACGGGGGGGGCAAGCGUUGUUCGGAAUUACUGGGCGUAAAGGGCUUGUAGGUGGCCAACUAAGUCCGACGUGAAAUCCCUAGGCUUAACCGAGGCAGGUCGUCGGAUACUGCAGGGCUAGAGGACGGUAGAGGCGUGUGGAAUUCCGGGUGUAGUGGUGAAAUGCGUAGAGAUCCGGAGGAACACCAGUGGCGAAGGCGACACGCUGGGCCGUACCUGACACUGAUGCGCGACAGCAUGGGGAGCAAACAGG
rnacentral:rRNA from 1 species